rnacentral:rRNA from 1 species
AACGAACGCUGGCGGCAGGCUUAACACAUGCAAGUCGAACGCCCCGCAAGGGGAGUGGCAGACGGGUGAGUAACGCGUAGGAAUCUACCGUGCCCUGCGGAAUAGCUCCGGGAAACUGGAAUUAAUACCGCAUACGCCCUACGGGGGAAAGAUCUAUCGGGGUAUGAUGAGCCCGCGUUGGAUUAGCUAGUUGGUGGGGUAAAGGCCUACCAAGGCGACGAUCCAUAGCUGGUCUGAGAGGAUGAUCAGCCACAUUGGGACUGAGACACGGCCCAAACUCCUACGGGAGGCAGCAGUGGGGAAUAUUGGACAAUGGGCGCAAGCCUGAUCCAGCCAUGCCGCGUAAGUGAUGAAGGCCUUAGGGUUGUAAAGCUCUUUCACCGAUGAAGAUAAUGACGGUAGUCGGAGAAGGAGCCCCGGCUAACUUCGUGCCAGCCGCCGCGGUAA